rnacentral:rRNA from 1 species
GACAGAGGCCCCGAGCGUUAGUCGGAAUUACUGGGCUUAAAGGGUGCGUAGGCGGACCUCUAAGUGUCGUGUGAAAGCCCAUGGCUUAACCAUGGAACCGCACGGCAAACUGGGGGUCUUGAGGAAGGUAGAGGCGGGUAGAACCAAUGGUGGAGCGGUGGAAUGCGUAGAUAUCAUUGGGAAUGCCGAAGGUGAAGACAGCCCGCUGGGCCUUUCCUGACGCUGAGGCACGAAAGCGUGGGGAGCAAACAGG